UUAUCCAUGAAAAUGGAACAGUCGAACGGAAUCCUAUUUCAGAGUUUUAUCAGUUAGCCACAUAAGUUUGUUCGAGUGGAAGUUAGAAUUGUUUCUAUUGAGAAUCUAUAUUCAACUGUAAAUUCAUCAGUUAUUGGCGAUGAAAAUUUAAGUAUAAAACUAAUGUGAAGACUGCAGAGUGUUUGAAUGUAGAAGAAAAAAUUCAAGGCAAAAAUCUUGUUUCAAUUGUAUAUCUGGAUGAAAGGGCUACCCGAUCUUAAUCUCUUAAAAAAACAUAUAACCCGAAGGUACCAUUUCCAUUUAAGAGAUGUCUGGCUGUUUUGGCCCAAGCAAAAGCAAGAAAAAAAAAUUAAAUUCCUGUCGCUAUAUCAGACGAAUGGAGAGAAUAUCACCAAGAUCUAAUUAAAAAAAGGAAAAAAAAAUAGAGGAGAAAAGA